UACGUAGGGUGCGAGCGUUGUCCGGAAUUAUUGGGCGUAAAGGGCUCGUAGGCGGUUUGUCGCGUCGGGAGUGAAAACACUGGGCUUAACCGAGUGCUUGCUUUCGAUACGGGCAGACUUGAGGCAUUCAGGGGAGAACGGAAUUCCUGGUGUAGCGGUGAAAUGCGCAGAUAUCAGGAGGAACACCGGUGGCGAAGGCGGUUCUCUGGGAAUGUUCUGACGCUGAGACGCGAAAGCGUGGGGAGCGAACAGG
rnacentral:rRNA from 1 species